UGGGACUAAAUAAUCUGGUCUGACAGCAGGGAGACACAGGGUUCACAAGAGAGGAGCUCUGGUUUGUGCUUUAUAGCAGAGGUGCAGGAGAUGUGGGCACUACCACCCUUGAUGUACACAGGUUCCAUCAUUUGCUGACUUUUAUGUGAUUGAUGUGAGGUUUAAUCAUAAGAUCCUUCAGGAAGGCUAAAAGAAAAGCCUGGCAGAAGAGCACAGCAGCCUCCUACCAGCUCCAGAGUUGUACUGCCCAGCUCAGCCCUCCCCUGUUACACCACCUACUCCUGCCCUAAAGGCAGUCAUCCCAGCACUUGGAAAAACUGCACAGAAACGUCCUGUUUGAAUAAGGAUAUAGUACACUGUGAUCCUUCUGGUGGAAACAAGCAGAUUUCUUUCUUCAGGGUCCAUGGGGUUUUUGUGGAGCUGGAAGAAAUACGAUUUCCCUGCUGCAAGGACCUGGCCAUUUUAUGAACGUGACAUGAAGUAUUAAUUUCUCCAUUCAU
rnacentral:lncRNA from 1 species